rnacentral:piRNA from 1 species
UGAAGUGAGCGCCUCUGUACUGUGGUC